rnacentral:rRNA from 1 species
UGGGGAAUUGUUCGCAAUGGGCGCAAGCCUGACGACGCAACGCCGCGUGGAGGAUGAAGACCUUCGGGUCGUAAACUCCUUUCGAUCGAGACGAACGGCCUCCGGGUUAACACCCUGGAGGAGUGACGGUACCGAGAGAAGAAGCCCCGGCUAACUCCGUGCCAGCAGCCGCGGUAAUACGGGGGGGGCAAGCGUUGUUCGGAAUUACUGGGCGUAAAGGGCUCGUAGGCGGCCAACUAAGUCAGACGUGAAAUCCCUCGGCUUAACCGGGGAACUGCAUCUGAUACUGGAUGGCUUGAGUUUGGGAGAGGGAUGCGGAAUUCCAGGUGUAGCGGUGAAAUGCGUAGAUAUCUGGAGGAACACCGGUGGCGAAGGCGGCAUCCUGGACCAACACUGACGCUGAUGAGCGAAAGCCAGGGGAGCAAACGGGAUUAGAUACCCCGGUAGUCC